UGCUCGGUUGGCGCGGCGCUCAGUUGGCGGGAACUUGCUUUGUUUUAAGCCGGCAAAUUAAACAAGCAAAAUAAUUGAAAAUCAAAACUGUUAAUCAAUCGGUUUUAUUUACAUUGCUAACAAACUGCAUUGAGACAGUAAGCGCUUGUGGAUUAUUAAUCAAAAAUUAUCAUAUUAUCUGCAGUUCAAUGUGAUUAGCGCAAAAAUAUGUGGGUGACAGCAAUUAUGUAUUGAAAUAGAAUAAAUAGGUCUUCAGAGGCAAACGCAACGCACAGAUUUCUCGACAACGACGAUGAACAACCGCAACAACUCAAUCAUCGGCAUCAACAGGGAAAGCAACAACAAUACCAGCUGUACAAUACUGCGCAUUGUGCCGGUGGCAGCGACAGCGACAACAGUACAAGAAGCGCCCAAAGCAACAGUAAUAGUAUUCCAAGCUUCAGUGGCAGCCACAUCGCGAAUCCAGCCCGCGGCAGCAGCAAAAACAUCAACAUCAACAGCAACAGCGCUGACACAAGUAAAAUAAUUGCCGACGCAUUGGUGAGUCGUUCGCUUGCACUGAAUCCGCUCAGCAUGUCGAGCUCGCCCGAAGUGGCGGAAGCGAGUGCGGGUGUGGCUGCAGGAGCACAUGUAGAUGUGGACGUGGGCGCUGACGAGACACCGCUCGAGUCCUACGACAGCCUCGACGCAAUUAAUGAGAGUACCGAACUGCAGUGCCUGCUGCAGCAGCACAUUGAUACAACGACCUACGGCAAUGACAGCGCCUACUGCCUCACCCACUUCGACUCGAUCCUUUGUUGGCCCCGCACGCCGCGUGGCACUUUGGCGGCGCUGCCGUGCCUGCACGAGUUCCAAGGCAUACAGUACGACAGCUCGCAGAAUGCGACGCGCUUUUGCCAUGCUAAUGGCACAUGGGAGAAAUAUACAAACUAUGACUUAUGCAUGCACCUGCCUGCGCCCUCCACUGUACCUGAAUUCGAACCGAUCAUCGAGUUGCCAACGAUAAUUUACUACAUUGGCUACACCAUCAGCUUAGUCUCAUUGACGCUGGCGAUUAUUGUCUUCGCCUAUUUCAAGGAAUUACGCUGUUUACGCAAUUCAAUUCACGCCAAUUUAUUCUUCACAUACAUAAUGUCGGCGUUGCUGUGGAUACUGACUUUGUCCGUACAUAUUUCCAUACGAACGGGCUUGGGAGGCUGUGUGGUUCUCGUCACGCUCUUUCACUUCUUCACCCUAACUAAUUUCUUCUGGAUGCUCGUUGAAGGCCUUUAUUUGUACAUGCUGGUUGUGAAGACAUUUUCCGGCGAUAAUAUACGCUUCAAUAUAUACGCAAUCAUCGGCUGGGGUGGACCCGCAGGUUUCGUUGUCAUUUGGGCAAUCGCCAAGGGAUUAACGAUAUCCUACGAUGUGGAGAAGUUCGACAUCGGUUGCCCUUGGAUGCGUGAAACCCAUGUGGAUUGGAUUUUUCAGGGCCCAGUCUGCGCGGUGCUGAUAAUGAAUUUAAUAUUUCUACUGAGAAUUAUGUGGGUGUUGAUAACAAAACUCCGAUCCGCCAACACGGUGGAGACGCGUCAAUAUCGCAAAGCUGCCAAGGCAUUGUUGGUGCUCAUUCCGCUCUUCGGCAUCACCUACUUGGUGGUUUUGGCGGGCCCCAGCGAAAGCGGCGUCAUGAGUCACAUGUUCGCCGUCGUGCGCGCGCUGCUGCUCAGCACGCAGGGCUUCGCAGUGUCAUUGUUCUAUUGUUUCUUAAAUUCCGAAGUGAGAAACACGCUGAGGCAUCACAUUUCCACGUGGCGCGACGAGCGGAAUAUCCAACUGAAUCAAAGCAGAAGGUGAGCAAACAGAUACACCACAAAGAGCUUCUCAAAGGAUUGCUCGCCGAGAACCGAGAGCACACGGCCACUCACAGCCUACUAUGGCAAAGGCAAG
rnacentral:misc_RNA from 1 species